AUGGGGACACACGGUGGGCAGCUGUCCCUGCCCUGCGGUGCCACGGCUGGUGACUUGCUGUCCUCUGUCCCCUCCCGCAGCAGUAACUGUGACCUGGACUACGAUCUCUACAGGGACGACUUCCCGUACCGGGUGUACGAGUACCAGAAGAUCCCACCCCUCAUUAACCGCAUCCCCGUCAAGGCCAGGAGAACUCACGCAGGAGCAGGAGGCAAAAGCAGCCCGAGCCCCCAGCCCGGGGCACGGAGCAGCAGCAGCAGCAGCUCCACGGGGACACGGACAAAACUGCGAGCCGAGGAGCUGCACUCCAUCAAGGGGGAGCUGAGCCAGAUCAAGGCGCAGGUGGACAGCCUGCUGGAGAGCCUGGACCGCAUGGACCAGCGGAGAGAGCGGCUCUCGGGGUGCAAGGAGAGUGAGAAGAAGAGGGCGGAGGUGGGCGCAGCGUCGCCGUCCCCGGUGGGAGAGGGCUCCCGGGGCAAGGAGGGGACAGGAGGGGACGGGCGCAGUGACCUGCGCACCAUCGACAGCGCGGAGGAGAGCACGGACACAGAGGAGACGGUAAGGCGGGGGCCAGCUGCCUUCCCCCAACUCCCUGCUUUGCCAAAACCGGGUCCUGGUGGGCUCUGGAAGGGACGCUCCGUGCUCCCUGGGGUGCACCCGAGGACCCCGCUCUGCUUUUCUCCUUGCAGAUGAAAACGCACAUCUCGGACCCCGAGGGGAGCCACUAGACGGACUGGGUAUGCUGGAGCCUUCCCGGUGUGCCAGCAGCUCCUGUCUUGUGUCCGUCUUUCUUUCGAGGCUUCCAGCUCGUGCCACGCUGGUGCCAGGUGCCCGCUCCCAGCACUCACGUCCCCUGCCAUGGUGCCAGCAGCCCCGUGUCCCACCCUGGCCAGCCACGGUGAGAGAAGUCUGUGUUUGAGUGCGCUUUGGGUUUGUUUUUGGUUUUUUUGUUCCUCCUGUUUUCCAGCUAGGGAUAAGUACACAGGGAAGGGAGGGUUGGAGGGCAGAAGGCCCACAUCCCGAAGGAGCAGCAGCCUGGAGCAGAAAUCCACGGUGUCCUCCUUCCUUGGAUAAAGUGUCCCAUACACACCGGUCACAUCCCGAGCCCUUGCCCCCCAGGCGUGCCCCCAGCUGCCUGCACACUCGAGGGUGGGCUCGUGCUGCUGGAGGUGACCGCCCUAAAGAGGAACCAGAGGGGCUCUCAGCACAGCACAAAGCCACAGCCCCGUGCCACCAGCGCCAUGGCACAGGGCCCGGCGGCUCCCAGUCGCCCGUGCUCACAACUGGGUUUUCCUUACUGGUUCCCCAAGGACUCCCACCGCGCUCCUGUCGGCAGGACGGAGCCUCUGCCCCGGGAAGUCGCGCCCCCAGCCCCACUCCCCCCGUCCCGCAGAGCUGUGCCACGUGUCCGUGUCCCUCGUUUCUAGGUCGUCCUUCUCGCUGGUAGGAAGUUGUUCUGUAUCUCUAAUUUGCUCCGGUAAAAGAGUGUAUUGUGUUGGAAAGGAAAAAAAAAAUAAAAUUUGUAUUUCUUUUCUCUGGUUAUUUGAC
ensembl:lncRNA